ACUUAGUGGCAGACGGGUGAGUAACAUGUGGGUAUCUACCCUUUGGCCUGGAAUAACACGAGGAAACUUGUGCUAAUACCGGAUAAGUCUUUACGGAGAAAGCUUUAUGCACCAUUGGAUGAGCCCGCACUUGAUUAGUCUGUUGGUAGGGUAAUGGCCUACCAAGACUAUGAUCAAUAGCUGAUUUGAGAGGAUGAUCAGCCACAUUGGGACUGAGACACGGCCCAAACUCCUACGGGAGGCAGCAGUGGGGAAUCUUGCACAAUGGAGGAAACUCUGAUGCAGCGAUGCCGCGUGAGUGAAGAAGGCCUUUGGGUUGUAAAGCUCUUUCGUCGGGGAAGAAAAUGACUGUACCCGAAUAAGAAGGUCCGGCUAACUUCGUGCCAGCAGCCGCGGUAAUACGAAGGGACCUAGCGUAGUUCGGAAUUACUGGGCUUAAAGAGUUCGUAGGUGGUUGAAAAAGUUGGUGGUGAAAUCCCAGAGCUUAACUCUGGAACUGCCAUCAAAACUUUUCAGCUAGAGUAUGA
rnacentral:rRNA from 1 species